rnacentral:rRNA from 1 species
CAAUGGGCGAAAGCCUGACGGAGCAAUACCGCGUGAGGGAGGAAGGCUCUUGGGUUGUAAACCUCAAAACUUAGGGAAGAAAAAAAUGACGGUACCUAAUGUAAGCAUCGGCUAACUCCGUGCCAGCAGCCGCGGUAAUACGGAGGAUGCAAGCGUUAUCCGGAAUCAUUGGGCGUAAAGAGUCCGUAGGUGGCACUUCAAGUCUGCUUUCAAAGACCGAAGCUCAACUUCGGAAAGGGAGUGGAAACUGAAGAGCUAGAGUAUAGUAGGGGUAGAGGGAAUUCCUAGUGUAGCGGUGAAAUGCGUAGAGAUUAGGAAGAACACCAGUGGCGAAGGCGCUCUACUGGGCAUAUACUGACACUGAGGGACGAAAGCUAGGGGAGCGAAUGGGAUUAGAUACCCCA